AGAUGUGAGGGCGAUCUGGCUGCCCUACCUGUCACCCCAUUGAUCACCAGGGUUGAUUCAUCUGAUCUGGCUGGCUAGAUGGGUGUCUCCUUCCUCUCUCACUCCAUGUGCAUCCCUCCUGAAGCUGCAUGUUCAGUCAAAGAGGAGGACCAGUCUUUGAUCAAGGGUAUAUGAAUAGCUGCACUCCCCUGCUGGAACCUCCAAAGAAGUUCUCAAUUUAUUACAUUGCUCAAAAAUUAGGUUUCUUUUCUUU
rnacentral:snRNA from 1 species